rnacentral:lncRNA from 10 species
CGUGGCCAUCCGCCUUCCCGGACGCCGCCUCCUUGGAGCCGGCCCUGAAGGCCGCAUUGAUCCACUCCUUCACGUCGAAGUCGUCUGCCAGGAACUUGGAGAAGUCCAUGGCGGAACUGCCUCAGGCCUGGCGUCCAGAACUUAAGAGUUGGCUCCGGGCGGCAACGGGGAUGCAGAAGCGAGCGAGCCUGCGAGAGCACCGAGGCUAGCCUCCGAGGCGAACCCCAGAAACGCCAGGACGGGCCCAGCUGCUAGGGAGGCUGAGGCAGGAUUGCUUGAGCCUGGGAAGCGGAGGUUGGAGGAAGCCGUGAUUGUACCACUGCAUUCCAGCCAGGGCAACAGAGCAAGACUCCAUCUCAAAAAUAAUUGUCCAUUUCAUCCAAGUUGUAUAAUUUGUUGGCAUAAAAUUGUUCAAAGGAUCCUCAUAUAGUCUUUUCUCAUCUGUAGAAUUGUGACGUCUGCCUGUUCUUUCCUGACUUUGGUAAUUUUUUUUUCCCUUGGUCAGUCUGCUGAAAUUUGUGAAUUCUGUUGCUCUUUUAAAAGAAUCAGCUGCAGGCCGGGUGGAACAUACUUUGUGUGGAUUGUCAAGCAGCAGCAUCUGAGAUAUCACAGCUGGAGGCAUCAAAGGACUGAAUGCAGGAAGCUUGGAGCUGGAUGCCGGCUGCAGCUUCACUCUCAUUGACUAUC